rnacentral:rRNA from 1 species
AGAGUUUGAUCCUGGCUCAGAAUGAACGCUGGCGGCGUGCUUAACACAUGCAAGUCGUACGAGAACUCUUCUGCUUGCAGAAGAUAGUAAAGUGGCGCACGGGUGAGUAACGCGUGGGUAAUCUACCUCUAACUCGGGGAUAACAUUGCGAAAGUGAUGCUAAUACCGGAUAAUAUCUAAUUUGCUUCGGCAGUUUAGGUCAAGGGUGGCCUCUAUAUAUAAGCUACUGAUUGGAGAUGAGCCCGCGUACCAUUAGCUUGUUGGUAGGGUAAUGGCCUACCAAGGCUACGAUGGUUAGCUGGUCUGAGAGGAUGAUCAGCCACACUGGAACUGACACACGGUCCAGACUCCUACGGGAGGCAGCAGUGAGGAAUUUUGCGCAAUGGGGGAAACCCUGACGCAGCAACGCCGCGUGAGUGAUGAAGGCUUUCGGGUCGUAAAGCUCUGUCAAGUGGGAAGAACAAGCCUGAUGUUAAUACCAUCAGGAACUGACGGUACCACUGAAGGAAGCACCGGCUAACUCCGUGCCAGCAGCCGCGGUAAUACGGGGGGUGCAAGCGUUAUUCGGAAUCAUUGGGCGUAAAGAGCGCGUAGGCGGCCCUUUAAGUCAGAUGUGAAAUCCCGGGGCUUAACCCCGGAAGUGCAUUUGAAACUAUUGGGCUUGAGUAUGGGAGAGGGAAGCGGAAUUCCUGGUGUAGAGGUGAAAUUCGUAGAUAUCAGGAGGAACAUCGGUGGCGAAGGCGGCUUCCUGGACCAAUACUGACGCUGAGGCGCGAAGGCGUGGGUAGCAAACAGGAUUAGAUACCCUGGUAGUCCACGCAGUAAACGUUGAACACUAGGUGUAGCGGGUAUUGACCCCUGCUGUGCCGCAGUUAACGCAUUAAGUGUUCCGCCUGGGGAGUACGACCGCAAGGUUAAAACUCAAAGGAAUUGACGGGGGCCCGCACAAGCGGUGGAGCAUGUGGUUUAAUUCGACGCAACGCGAAGAACCUUACCCAGAUUUGACAUUGAUGGAACCCUGUAGAGAUACGGGGGUGCCCUUCGGGGCCCAGAAAACAGGUGCUGCAUGGCUGUCGUCAGCUCGUGUCGUGAGAUGUUGGGUUAAGUCCCGCAACGAGCGCAACCCCCGCUACUAGUUGCCAGCGAGUUAUGUCGGGCACUCUAGUGGGACUGCCGGUGUCAAGCCGGAGGAAGGUGGGGAUGACGUCAAGUCCUCAUGGCCUUUAUGUCUGGGGCUACACACGUGCUACAAUGGUCGCUACAAAGUGCUGCGAACCCGCGAGGGGGAGCCAAUCACAAAAAAGCGGCCUCAGUUCGGAUCGGAGUCUGCAAUUCGACUCCGUGAAGUCGGAAUCGCUAGUAAUCGCGGAUCAGCAUGCCGCGGUGAAUACGUUCCCGGGCCUUGUACACACCGCCCGUCACACCAUGGGAGUCGAUUGCUCCAGAAGUCCGUAGGCCAACCGUAAGGAGGCAGCGGCCCAAGGAGUGGUCGG